rnacentral:rRNA from 1 species
UACGAAGGGGGCUAGCGUUUUUCGGAAUUACUGGGCGUAAAGCGCACGUGGGCGGACUUGUAAGUUGGGGGUGACAUCCCGGGGCUCAACCCCGGAAUUGCCUUCAAGACUGCAAGUCUGGAGGUCAGGAGAGGCGAGCGGAAUUCCGAGUGUAGAGGUGAAAUUCGUAGAUAUUCGGAGGAACACCAGUGGCGAAGGCGGCGCGCUGGACUGAUACUGACGCUGAGGUGCGAAAGCGUGGGGAGCAAACAGG